rnacentral:rRNA from 1 species
UACGUAGGUGGCAAGCGUUGUUCGGAAUUACUGGGCGUAAAGGGCUCGUAGGCGGCCAACUCAGUCGGACGUGAAAUCCCUCGGCUUAACCGGGGAACUGCGUCCGAUACUGGAUGGCUUGAGUGUGGGAGAGGGAUGCGGAAUUCCAGGUGUAGCGGUGAAAUGCGUAGAUAUCUGGAGGAACACCGGUGGCGAAGGCGGCAUCCUGGACUACUACUGACGCUGAGGAGCGAAAGCCAGGGGAGCAAACGGG